UGAGUAACACGUGAGUGACCUGCCUUUUAGACUGGAACAACUUACCGAAAGGUGAGCUAAUGCCGGAUGAGUUAUAUAAGUGCAUGUUUAUAUAGGAAAAGUUGGGGAGACCUGACGCUGAAAGAUGGACUCGCGUCCCAUUAGCUAGUUGGUAGGGUAAUGGCCUACCAAGGCGACGAUGGGUAGCCGGCCUGAGAGGGUGGCCGGCCACAUUGGGACUGAGACACGGCCCAAACUCCUACGGAAGGCAGCAG
rnacentral:rRNA from 1 species